GAAAACAUAAUGCCCAGGUUAAUGUGUGGUUUGUUUUGAUUCAUUAUUUAACUUUUUUUUAAAUUAAUAUAUUUUCAUUUUUUUGUAUUUUAAUAUAUAAGUGAAAUUACUAAAAUGACACUAUACUUUUUUUUUAUACUGCUAUUCAUGUUUUCAAACAAUUUUCAUUUAUACUUCUAUCCAUGUUUUCAAAAAAUACCAAAAGAUACUUCAGUUUUAAUAAUUUUUCUUAUUUUAAUGUAAAGUAACCGAAAAAACGGAACUGAAUCGGAACUGAAUGGGAUCCAGGAUUAUUUCGUAUAUUAGCUUGAACUUGAAUCUUGACAACUGAAAACAUAAUGCCCAGGUUAAUGUGUGGUUAGUUAUGAUUCUUUACUUAACUUGUUUUAAAAUUAAUAUAUUUUUAUUUUGGGAAAAUUGUUUUUUAAGUCCAAAGAAUGAUAACUAUGUCAUAUUAUGCUAAUCUCAUAUACUUUAUGUCCUAUUAGUCUAAAUAUUUUUAAAAUGGCAAUAUUGUCCUUAAUUUCAAUUAAAAAUUCGAAAUUACAAUUAAUAAAAAAAUUUUAAAUAUUAAAAUAUAAUUUUUAACUAAAAUAAUUUAAAAAAUAUAUUAAAGAUCCCCAAAAAAAGAGAAAUUGCCACAAAUACCACUUUCCU
rnacentral:lncRNA from 1 species